rnacentral:pre_miRNA from 1 species
ACGCGGGUGCGGGCCGGCGGGGUAGAAGCCACCCGGCCCGGCCCGGCCCGGCGA